CUGCCUGAGAGAGCUUGAGGGAUUUCAAGGGUGACUUGACUUCGCCCGAUCCUGGUCGGCAGGGUGGGGUUUCUUGGCAUUCCUCAGGCCGGGGGAUGCGACGUCUGGGUGUGGAGGUGAUGAGCUAGGGGUUCUGUGGCACUCCGGCUCUGCUCAGGGCGACCUGCGUAGGGGCCUCUGGGGCAGGCCCGCUUUCUGUCAAAAUGGCAGCGCCCAGCGUGCGCGGGUAUCUCUGAAGUUGGGGUUUAAGAUUCUUGCCCGUGAGAGCGAACGAGCCUGCCGUGCUUCUGAUUUUGAAACACCUGGGACUGGGUUUCCCGGGCGAGCGGUGGGUGAGUGCCGGCCUCGUUGCAGCCUGGGGUACGACGUGGGCGGUUGGUGUUGUAGGGGGUUUACAUUGGCCGUGGAUUUUUUCCUCUUUCCGGAUGUGUUUUUGCUUUUGAGUGAAGAGUUCCCGUGGUUUUGUAACGUAAUAAAUGCAUAAAAUGCAGCUUGGGUUGUAGACUUUGGAGAAUAAUUAGAGACCUUUAGGGCUUUAGGCUUUCUCCAAGAAGCGGAGCAAGUUUUCAACCAUGGCUUUCUUCAGAAGACUUCAGCUUUUUUGAAUCAUCUUAUUAAAGUGGUGGAUAAAGUUGCUUGUUCUGAUCUUUGAGCAUGGGACUGGACGCAGGAAGCUUCAGCCAGUCCUAGUUACUGUGUUUGCAAAGCACUUUUCUUGUUUUUGGAAUCUUGCUUUAUGUAAUCAACCUUACUUAGGAAGAACCACACCUUUCUGCACUCAAGCACAGCGAGAAGAGCUUUGCCAUGAAAAGAACAGUCCAGGCCAGGCGUGGUGGCUCACACCUGUAAUCCCAGCACUUUGGGAGGCCCAGGCGGGUGAAUCCCAAGGUCAGGAGAUGGAGACCAUCCUGGCUAACACAGUGAAAACCUGUCUCUACUAAAAAAAUACAAAAAAAAUUAGCCGGAUGUGGUGGUGGGUGCCUGUAGUCCC
rnacentral:lncRNA from 1 species